AACCCAUGGUGAGGGCACCUUCUCAAUAAGUCUUUGUAUCUCUCCCAUGCAUCGUAGUGUUUCUAAAUCCAUCUGCGCAAAAAAAGAGAUAUUAUUACGUAAUUU
rfam:Gossypium hirsutum cultivar TM-1 chromosome 11, whole genome shotgun sequence